UUUCUUACUGAAUUACAUGUUUGCAACGUCAUGGACCCACGAUGCUAUUUAAGUUUUUCUACUGUAUUUGAAGUUGAAUUUUGAAUUUUUAUCCCUCAAAGUGCUUUGGAUUGCAUGCUGUCUCAUGUUGCUGGUGAAGCAAAACCAUGUGUUCAUACACUUUAUGAAGUAGUUGCCCUCUAUCUUUGACAGCUGAAGAGCUAUAAAGAAGAUAAAAUUGUGUGUUACACAGUACAACAGCAGGUUAUUCCAAUUACAGCCGUAAUGGAUGUGCAAGAUUAAAUUAGACUCAAGCAUAAUUUAAAAGGACAGGGCUUAUUAACAACUAUCAAAUUAUCGAUACCAAUUUUUUUGAUGAAAGAAUAGCUGAAAAUAGACAUGGAUACAAGGGUUAACCAAGAUUUGGAGAAAUUGCUAAUUUCCAGGGUUAACCAAGAUUUGGAGAAAAGAGGCACUCUCUCAUUACUGGUAAAGAUGCAUCAAUUUCCAGGUCCCUUUUGUAGAGAACAUCUUAGUGGUAUCUAUGAAAUUUUUACAUAUGCAAAAUACUGUUAUUUAUUUGACUUCUUUCACAUUUCUUACAGAUACAUGAACAAGAAAAACAAAAGCUAUGUGGUAGGCUUAGUUCAGCAGUGCAUAAAAAGAUGUUGAGAAAAAUGAACCAAUUUUCUAUCUCACAUUUUGAACUUGUAUAAAUAAGUUUUGAUGUCGCUAUACUCAAUCCUGCAUUGACUUAAGACCAGAUUACAGAAAUGACCAACUAUACUUGAGUCUGAAAUAGAAUCCUAGAUUUUUCUUUUCUUAAAACUGCAGCUGGAAUUUGCAAAAGUGAAUUCUUGACAGGUAUCUCAUCCUCUUAAUUUUUAUUGUCUGUGUCAUGGAACUUAGAACUGGAGGAGUGAGUUUUAAACUGAUUUUAAGUGCAAAAUUAAAACACCGAGGGGGGAAAAAAAAAGAUUUCCAGAGCAAUUGUUAACUAGUGUGAACCACGUUGUUUUUUAGAUUUCAGACUCUUUGGAUUAUUCUAUUUAUUUCUCUUCAGAUUUAGCUGAUCUCUCUACUUGAUUUCUGCUGCAGAGGUGUAGCAGUUUCAUUUAAAUCAUCAGAGCAUGUUCUUUCACUUUUAUUACAAUUAUUGGUACGUUUUUGGAGCCUGUUUCACUUAAAUGCAUGGUUUCUUUCUGAUUGGGGCAGUUUUAGCUCAAGAAAGGUUAGUUUAAAAAUAUAUGUACAUAUAUAGAUAAACAGUAAUAUAAAUUGUUCUGGAGUAUAGAACCUUCACUUUUUUUUGCCUGUUGUAAGUCCCACCCCCUAUGCUGGUGACAAAUUCAGGCCCAGAGCAAAUUAUGUACUCUGCUACUACCCUAGAUCCUAGAUCAAUUUUUAUGAUGAUGAAAUAGGAAAAUAAGCAGUCACAUGUACUAUUCAGCUCACUAAUUGAUCAUAUUAGUAAAGAAGAACAAAAAGGAGAGGUGGGCAGACUCACUUUGGAAUAUACAUUAAGAAAUGGACAUGAUAUGACAUAGCUGACCCUUGUUUUAAGUUGCUAUCUUUACUGAAUAGAAUCCUAAAACUUGUAGCUGUUAGUGGUUUUUUAUUUGCUUUAGCUUUGUCCUUUUUAUUGCACAAUUUAGAAUAAAGUUCUAAUUUAGUUAUCUGUAAUGACGUACUUUUAGAUACAUGAACAAGCUGCUUUUGCCACAUCUUAAGACGCUGAUACCAGCAGCAUCUUCCUGCAGGAGCUGUGAUUAAUGAACAUUAAAGGCCAUGGAAGAAGAUGAAUUUGAAUUACAACCACAAGAACCAAACACGUUUUUUGAUGGAAUAGGUAUAACUGUUUCUUUGGUUGUU